CCUACGGGUGGCAGCAGUGAGGAAUAUUGGUCAAUGGGCGCGAGCCUGAACCAGCCAAGUCGCGUGCGGGAAGACGGCCCUACGGGUUGUAAACCUCUUUUGCCCGAGAGCAACGCGCGCCACGUGUGGCGCCCCUGAGAGUACCCGGAGAAAAAGCAUCGCCUAACUCCGGGCCACCAGCCACGGUAAUACGGAGGAUGCGAGCGUUAUCCGGAUUUUUUGGGUUUAAAGGGUGCGUAGGCGGAGCGUUAAGUCGAGGGUAAAAGUGAGGGGCUCAACCCGUUACCGCCAUUGAUACUGUCGCUCGUGAGAGGAAGAGAAGUAUGCGGAAUGCGUGGUGUAGCGGUGAAAUGCAUAGAUAUCACACAGAACCCCGAUUGCGAAGGCAGCAUGCCGGCUUCCGACUGACGCUGAAGCACGAAAGCGUGGGGAUCGAACAGGAUUAGAUACCCGGGUAGUC
rnacentral:rRNA from 1 species